AUGGUGAUUGAAGAGCAUUAUUUAGGUGACACUCCAGAGAUGUGUUCUCCAGGCUUCAUGACUGUGGUUCUCUUAAUGCUUGGACAAACCCAUGGAGACUCAGUGACCCAGACGGAGGGCCCAGUGACCCUCUCAGAAGAAGCUUCCCUGACUAUAAACUGUACUUAUUCAACAACAGGGUCUGCCGCUCUUUUCUGGUAUGUCCAAUAUCCUGGUGAGGGUCUACAGCUCCUACUCAAUGCCUUUAGUGAUAAGAAGAAAAGCAAGAAAGGAUUUGAAGCCACCUUCGACAGCAAAUCCAAAUCCUUCCACUUGGAGAAAGGCUCAGUGCAAGCGUCAGAUUCAGCUGUGUAUUACUGUGCCAUGAGUGACACAGUGACGGGGACUGCAGGGGGAGCUGAGCACAAACUCUGA